GACGAACGCUGGCGGCGUGCUUAACACAUGCAAGUCGAACGGAAAGGCCCUGCUUUUGUGGGGUGCUCGAGUGGCGAACGGGUGAGUAACACGUGAGUAACCUGCCCUUGACUUUGGGAUAACUUCAGGAAACUGGGGCUAAUACCGGAUAGGAGCUCCUGCUGCAUGGUGGGGGUUGGAAAGUUUCGGCGGUUGGGGAUGGACUCGCGGCUUAUCAGCUUGUUGGUGGGGUAGUGGCUUACCAAGGCUUUGACGGGUAGCCGGCCUGAGAGGGUGACCGGCCACAUUGGGACUGAGAUACGGCCCAGACUCCUACGGGAGGCAGCAGUGGGGAAUAUUGCACAAUGGGCGGAAGCCUGAUGCAGCAACGCCGCGUGCGGGAUGACGGCCUUCGGGUUGUAAACCGCUUUCGCCUGUGACGAAGCGUGAGUGACGGUAAUGGGUAAAGAAGCACCGGCUAACUACGUGCCAGCAGCCGCGGUGAUACGUAGGGUGCGAGCGUUGUCCGGAUUUAUUGGGCGUAAAGGGCUCGUAGGUGGUUGAUCGCGUCGGAAGUGUAAUCUUGGGGCUUAACCCUGAGCGUGCUUUCGAUACGGGUUGACUUGAGGAAGGUAGGGGAGAAUGGAAUUCCUGGUGGAGCGGUGGAAUGCGCAGAUAUCAGGGGGAACACCAGUGGCGAAGGCGGUUCUCUGGGCCUUUCCUGACGCUGAGGAGCGAAAGCGUGGGGAGCGAACAGGCUUAGAUACCCUGGUAGUCCACGCUGUAAACGGUGGGUACUAGGUGUGGGGUCCAUUCCACGGGUUCCGUGCCGUAGCUAACGCUUUAAGUACCCCGCCUGGGGAGUACGGCCGCAAGGCUAAAACUCAAAGGAAUUGACGGGGCCCCGCACAAGCGGCGGAGCAUGCGGAUUAAUUCGAUGCAACGCGUAGAACCUUACCUGGGUUUGACAUGGAUCGGGAGUGCUCAGAGAUGGGUGUGCCUCUUUUGGGGUCGGUUCACAGGUGGUGCAUGGCUGUCGUCAGCUCGUGUCGUGAGAUGUUGGGUUAAGUCCCGCAACGAGCGCAACCCUUGUUCACUGUUGCCAGCACGUUAUGGUGGGGACUCAGUGGAGACCGCCGGGGUCAACUCGGAGGAAGGUGGGGAUGACGUCAAGUCAUCAUGCCCCUUAUGUCCAGGGCUUCACGCAUGCUACAAUGGCUGGUACAGAGAGUGGCGAGCCUGUGAGGGUGAGCGAAUCUCGGAAAGCCGGUCUCAGUUCGGAUUGGGGUCUGCAACUCGACCUCAUGAAGUCGGAGUCGCUAGUAAUCGCAGGUCAGCAACGCUGCGGUGAAUACGUUCCCGGGGCU
rnacentral:rRNA from 1 species